UGCUGGUGUGUGGGGCAUAUGUGGC
rnacentral:piRNA from 1 species